rnacentral:rRNA from 1 species
GAUGAACGCUGACAGAAUGCUUAACACAUGCAAGUCAACUUGAACUUCGGUUUGGGUGGCGGACGGGUGAGUAACGCGUAAAGAACUUGCCUCACAGAUAGGGACAACAUUUGGAAACGAAUGCUAAUACCUGAUAUUAUGAUUAUAUGGCAUCGUAUAAUUAUGAAAGCUAUAUGCGCUGUGAGAGAGCUUUGCGUCCCAUUAGCUAGUUGGAGAGGUAACGGCUCACCAAGGCGAUGAUGGGUAGCCGGCCUGAGAGGGUGAUCGGCCACAAGGGGACUGAGACACGGCCCUUACUCCUACGGGAGGCAAGAGUGGGGAAUAUUGGACAAUGGACCAAGAGUCUGAUCCAGCAAUUCUGUGUGCACGAUGAAGUUUUUCGGAAUGUAAAGUGCUUUCAGUUGGGAAGAAAAAAAUGACGGUACCAACAGAAGAAGUGACGGCUAAAUACGUG